rnacentral:sRNA from 1 species
UGAAAAGCAUCGGAUAUCUCUUUAGCCAAAGAACAGAGACAGCACGGGGAGCAGUAAACUAAGCUCCCCCAACUACCUGUCAACGCAUCUUGACCCUGACAUGAAGGGACUACUUCUAGCAUCAGAGGGUAGUUCAGCCACCAUGCCUAUUUAGCCCUUGGCCUCC